AUUGAACGCUGGCGGCAGGCCUAACACACGCAAGUCGAGCGGAUGAUGGGAGCUUGCUCCUUGAUUCAGCGGCGGACGGGUGAGUAAUGCCUAGGAAUCUGCCUGGUAGUGGGGGACAACGUUUCGAAAGGAACGCUAAUACCGCAUACGUCCUACGGGAGAAAGCAGGGGACCUUCGGGCCUUGCGCUAUCAGAUGAGCCUAGGUCGGAUUAGCUUGUUGGUGAGGUAAUGGCUCACCAAGGCGACGAUCCGUAACUGGUCUGAGAGGAUGAUCAGUCACACUGGAACUGAAACACGGUCCAGACUCCUACGGGAGGCAGCAGUGGGGAAUAUUGGACAAUGGGCGAAAGCCUGAUCCAGCCAUGCCGCGUGUGUGAAGAAGGUCUUCGGAUUGUAAAGCACUUUAAGUUGGGAGGAAGGGUUGUAGAUUAAUACUCUGCAAUUUUGACGUUACCGACAGAAUAGGCACCGGCUAACUCUGUGCCAGCCGCCGCUGUAAAAC
rnacentral:rRNA from 1 species